rnacentral:rRNA from 1 species
UACGGGGGGAGCAAGCGUUGUUCGGAUUUACUGGGCGUAAAGGGCGCGUCGGCGGCCUCCGCAAGUCAGUUGUGAAAUCUCCGAGCUUAACUCGGAAAGGUCAACUGAUACUGCGGGGCUAGAGUGCGGAAGGGGCAACUGGAAUUCUUGGUGUAGCGGUGAAAUGCGUAGAUAUCAAGAGGAACACCUGCGGCGAAGGCGGGUUGCGGGGCCGACACUGACGCUGAGGCGCGAAAGCUAGGGGAGCGAACGGG